rnacentral:rRNA from 1 species
UACGUAGUGUGCAAGCGUUGUCCGGAAUUAUUGGGCGUAAAGAGCUCGUAGGCGGUCUGUCGCGUCGGAUUUGAAAACCCGGGGCUCAACCCCGGGCCUGCAUUCGAUACGGGCAGACUAGAGUUCGGUAGGGGAGUCUGGAAUUCCUGGUGUAGCGGUGAAAUGCGCAGAUAUCAGGAGGAACACCGGUGGCGAAGGCGGGACUCUGGGCCGAUACUGACGCUGAGGAGCGAAAGCUAGGGGAGCAAACGGG